UGCAGUCGAACGGCAGCAUGAUCUAGCUUGCUAGAUUGAUGGCGAGUGGCGAACGGGUGAGUAAUACAUCGGAACGUGCCCUGUAGUGGGGGAUAACUAGUCGAAAGAUUAGCUAAUACCGCAUACGACCUGAGGGUGAAAGUGGGGGACCGCAAGGCCUCAUGCUAUAGGAGCGGCCGAUGUCUGAUUAGCUAGUUGGUGGGGUAAAGGCCCACCAAGGCGACGAUCAGUAGCUGGUCUGAGAGGACGAUCAGCCACACUGGGACUGAGACACGGCCCAGACUCCUACGGGAGGCAGCAGUGGGGAAUUUUGGACAAUGGGCGAAAGCCUGAUCCAGCAAUGCCGCGUGUGUGAAGAAGGCCUUCGGGUUGUAAAGCACUUUUGUCCGGAAAGAAAUGGCUCUGGUUAAUACCUGGGGUCGAUGACGGUACCGGAAGAAUAAGGACCGGCUAACUACGUGCCAGCAGCCGCGGUAAUACGUAGGGUCCAAGCGUUAAUCGGAAUUACUGGGCGUAAAGCGUGCGCAGGCGGUUGUGCAAGACCGAUGUGAAAUCCCCGAGCUUAACUUGGGAAUUGCAUUGGUGACUGCACGGCUAGAGUGUGUCAGAGGGGGGUAGAAUUCCACGUGUAGCAGUGAAAUGCGUAGAGAUGUGGAGGAAUACCGAUGGCGAAGGCAGCCCCC
rnacentral:rRNA from 3 species